CUCCUGGAAACGGGUGGUAAUGCCGGAUGUUCCAGUUGAUCGCAUGGUCUUCUGGGAAAGCUUUCGCGGUAUGGGAUGGGGUCGCGUCCUAUCAGCUUGACGGCGGGGUAACGGCCCACCGUGGCUUCGACGGGUAGCCGGCCUGAGAGGGCGACCGGCCACAUUGGGACUGAGAUACGGCCCAGACUCCUACGGGAGGCAGCAGUGGGGAAUAUUGCACAAUGGGCGCAAGCCUGAUGCAGCGACGCCGCGUGAGGGAUGGAGGCCUUCGGGUUGUAAACCUCUUUUAUCGGGGAGCAAGCGUGAGUGAGUUUACCCGUUGAAUAAGCACCGGCUAACUACGUGCCAGCAGCCGCGGUAAUACGUAGGGUGCAAGCGUUAUCCGGAAUUAUUGGGCGUAAAGGGCUCGUAGGCGGUUCGUCGCGUCCGGUGUGAAAGUCCAUCGCUUAACGGUGGAUCCGCGCCGGGUACGGGCGGGCUUGAGUGCGGUAGGGGAGACUGGAAUUCCCGGUGUAACGGUGGAAUGUGUAGAUAU
rnacentral:rRNA from 1 species